GGAGAGAGGAGAGGGUGUGUUCAUGGAAUGUAAUCUGAACUGCAUCUAAACUUUGAGACCUAGUCAACACAGCACUUGCUGGUGGUUAGAUGAACCCGGGGUCAAGUACAUUUACAGCUCUGUGACCUUAGGCAAGUGAUUUCACUGCUUCUCAGUCCCUGUAGGUAUAAACCAGGAGCACUAAUAUUACCCACCUCACUGGGCUGCUGUGAGAAUUGAAGGCAGUGUGCAUAAGACCCUUUCUCCCCUGGGGUCUAGGCAGCUCCUCUGCCAGGUUCUUGGUGGAGCGCUUGCUCUGUGGGAUUUAAAGUGAGUGAGGACUCCCGUUUUCAGUGUGGUCUCUACACAGUUGUAGAUGCAGUAACAGUUCGAUUGUGCUAAUUUACACAGAAGCCCAAGGGAAGCUGAAUAUGGGAGUGCUCAAGCAUCCCACAGGAGCAAUCUCCUCGCCCAAAUCACAGGGACCAUUUGUGUGUGUGUGUGUGUGUGUGUGUGUGUAGCUUUCCAGUUAUGUGCUUUCGUAUCUGUCACAUUGUCGCCAGAAUCAGCUGCGGUCAAGAUUUCUACAUCCCAUCAACUCACAGAGGUUUGUGGAACGGGGAUGGGACAGAGGUUGGCCACUUUCAGAAGUGAGUGCUUCCUUUGGGCGAUGGGAAGGAGGCAAUGACGAGUGCCACCCACCCACUUCACAUCUCUUUGGCAGUUCGGUCUUAAUCUAGAAGCAAUAGUGGCGCCACCUCUCUCAAGUCGCUUCUCUCUGUGUCAAGUUUUCGGUGUUGUAUUGGAGGGAGUGCCAGCACCACCACCUCCCCCCCCCCCCCCGCUCCCUGCACCCCGUUUCCCACACACUGUUCGGUGUUCUCUCAAGAAAGCACUGAGAACGGGAGUCCGGAGCUUGCAAAUGGCAAGAACCUGCACAGGUCAAUUGUCGCGUAGUUCUGGAGGUCAGGAAGCCCAAGAUCCUGCAACCCACUGGCCAUAGUCCAGCCCAUGGAGGCAAUGGAAGGGGUGGUCAUUGUGGAACCAGAUGAGUGCCAUAUCUGAUUCUGGUGGCCCAAUAACCUACUGUGUGACUUGGCCCCAGCCUCCGUAUCCUCAUCUGGAAACCAAAAUCAGGCAACUUGUUCCGUGGUCACAGCAGGGAGGAACGUCACCUCCCCAGUUGAAGGUUGGAUGUUUGUGAAAUGAAGCCGAGACCCCGUGUGUCCCUAGGGAAGGUGACGCCCCCGCUCUCCCGGGCUUGUGCGGACGUGUCUCGGGCGUGACCUCUGAGCAGCUGCGCCACCCGCUCAGCCUCGAGGUGGAGAAACCCGAGCUCCAGGCAAAACCCCCAUCUUUGGCAAAGGAAGGAGCCCUGGGAAGUUUGAAUGUCAUACAUGGUAAGUCAGGUGCUCUGCUUUGGUUAGAAAGAGCUGGAAAUUGUCUCUGUUUGGGACAGAUCAGCAGUUUGUUAAUUCUCCUCUUGCUGUUCUCAGAAAGGGCCAUGGAGGAACUUGACCUACUGAAGGUGACAGGAGAUAAAGACUCUAGUUAGCCACCCACUGGGAACUUAUCUGAAAAGAGGAGAGAGGGGUGGGAGAGGGAGCUGCCACCUGACUGCCCAGCCAUGCUUCACCUGCCAGUUCAGUCAGGGGCUGUGUCUAACUUUUGUGGCCCUGGGAAAAUGUUGGGAACCUGGAGGGCCCCAUGCUGACACUCUGAAGUCUGGCAGUGCACUUACUGAUGGACAAAGUUGAUCGAGAUGACCAGGAGUUAGGAGUUGUGUUCCCUCAGUGGUAUGGAGGUGUGCGGCAUGGACUGAGUCAGUAGAGGGUGCUUUUGGGGAGAAGACAGUGGAGACCACGUUUCUGGGAUGGUUUGUAGGCUAGAUGGGCCUCCUUUCCCAUAUACACACCAAGGCAAGUUCCAUCCCUCUGUCUGAAUGUCUCUCUUGGUUAAUUCUUACUUUUGGAUUCUACUACCUACCUCUCUGCUUCACAGUUCCCAAGACACCAUUCAUUGCAGCUUUUAUACCCAGCACACCUAUAUCAAGUCAGGCAGUAAGAGACUCUCCCCAUCCCUCUUGCACACAGUGCACAGCUGAAUGUGGAAAGUGAAUCCCACUCUCCUUCAGAGAGCGGGGUCAGAGUACAGGGCAGUCCUGGGGCUAUACCUGGGUCAUCCUGACUGUUCCUGGGUGUACCCAGGUGAACCCUCAGAAUACAGUAUUUCUUCAGAAUUUCUUCAGGUGGGUAAACUGAUGUGAUAGGACCCUUUGCAGGUUAAUAAGUGUAAAAUGUCUGGCUCCCGGUAAGUGCUCAAUGUAUAUUGGCUUCUGCUUUUACUGCCAUUAUGAUGCUACCCCUCUAGGCAGGUAACUCUGCCUUCCUGAAUCUCAUUGUCCUCAUGUGCAAGGUUGAGGCAAUACUAUCUGUUUUAUAGGAUUGUUGUGAGGACUAAAUAGUGUUAAUUACUACUGUCAAGUUUGCAAUAAAUCACAGUGCUUCAUGGGUUGCUUUAGCCUAGUUUAUCUCCCAGGGGAUGACUUUAUUUCCAAACAGAAGACAGCUUCUUAGAAGAGCUUCAAAAUAUUGACCCUGGCUGGUGAGGGCAUUUGGACACUUAACUCAUCCAGCAUCCCUUUCCCAGCUGUGAACUUGUAUGAUAAUAACCACCUCUAGGAAUCUCCAAGAUGUUAUGAGGAGAAAAUAUGUGAUAAUAUACACAGCACUUUGAGCCCCUCUGAACAGAGACGCCCGUAAAUAGAAGGUGGUAUUAUAAGGUGGAGUAAUGGCUGGUGACUCCCCCUCCCUUUUUUAUUUAAUUAGGAGAAAACUAGUAAUUAGGAAGCAUGGCCUUGUGAAAGCUGUGGCCUGGGAAAUAGUUCUCUUGGCACCUAAUCAGAACUGUGACAUGGCACAAGUUUCUGCCAAAUGUGGCAGCAGGAGACCUCGCCCCGGGCUCAGAAACAGGUCUGGAGAUCAUGAGGAAUUCACUGUCUGGAGUGCAAGGCCCCGAGGUGGCUGACGCAGAGCCAGCUGGGGAGCCUCCUUGGUCUCCUGCUCCAGAGGAGAUCCCCACCCACAGGCCUCAGUGGCCUUCAUCCCUGGGGACUCAGAGUCCAUCUUAUCUGCAGGUUACAGCUUGCUGCAACCCCAGAAACAAGCUGUCCCACCAUGGGGCUCGUAAAAGAUGUCUGAUCUGGUUUGGUCUCUGAUUCCCUUGCUGGGACAAAGAGUUCUCUUUAAGAAGGGCCAGUGUGGAGGAGGCCUUUGAGCCCUAGCUAGCCCGUGUGCCUCUACUCUGCAGCAGCCUCAGCUGGAGCGACUUUCCCUCCUCCCUGCAAAUCCCCUAGGUGCUGCUGCAAGGUGGCCUUGGCCGGGAGGCCUCCCAGUCUUUCCAGUUCCAUUGCACUCAGGCCUUCUCAGCUCUGUUUGGUACAGUGUGGACUUUUGCUUUUUGUCCUUCAACUCUCCCACCUCUGCCUCCAUGAUGCUGGAUGGGGUGGUGAUGGAAAGUAAGUUGGGGAAGCAAAGUGUUCCCAGCCCAAGCUCCAGCACAGUGAUGUCACAGGGAACAUCAGCAGCAGGAUUGCUGGUGGGCUCUGACUUCCCCUCACCACAAUGACGAUACAGGCUAGAGGCUUUCUCAUAAACCCCGAAGAUAGCAGUUCCUUUUUUUCAGUUAUGAAUUAUAUUUUAAAGGUGCAGAAAAUAUAAGACACAUAUCACUCUGAUUACCAGUUGUUGACAUUUCUCAUCUUUGCUGUGGAUGUCUUCCUAUGUAUUUUUAAAAGUUUUCAAUACAGCUAAGUUUUCCACCUCUCCAGACCCUCCCUGUGGGUCCCCACUGGCCUGUCAUUUACCUGCACCUGUGGAUGGUACUCAGGGGACUGGAAGGCUGUUGAUUUUGUGCACAUCUUCCUCACCCACACAAGUCCUCUCAGGAAUGCCUCUCCACUCAGUCUCUUGUGGUGUCUGUGGCCGCCAUUAACUUGCACUUGGACCAUUUGCUCCUAUGGACAUUUUAAAGUCUUGGUCAGAUCAUAUGGCCCUUUGCUCCAAGCCUACACAUGGCUUCUGUUUCAACUCAGAGUAAAAUUCAAGCCCUGAGGACCAAUAGGACCCUAUGUGAUAGUAGCCUACUCUUUGCCUCUCUGACCCCAUCUCCCAGGAUAUAGCCUUCUUCCCCCCCUCCCUCAGGGGCAGCCACACUGCUCUUCUCAUUUUUCCUGGGACUUACUGUGGGCAAGGCUUCAGGCUGUUCCCCUGACUGUCACCCUCUUUCCCCAGAUACCUACAGGGCAAAACUCCAUAUUCUUCCAUUCAUUGCUCACAUUUCACUUCUCCCUGAACUCUAGGCAUAAGGCACUUAUAAAUAUAUCCCUCAUUCCCACCAUUCUCUCCCUUGUCUGGUCUAAUAUUUAUUUUUCCAUAGCAGGUAUUUUCUAGCAAAUUGUAUACUUUACUUAUUUAUUAUUUGUUGCCUAUUUCUGCCUACUACAAUGUAAGUUCCCCUAGAGUAGGAAUUUCUGUUGUUGAGGCACUAGUACUUCCUUCAUUUCUACAGUAGUGCCAGGCACACGGGGGCUCUACAAAGAUUUACUGACUGAUUCAAUAAGCCUAUGGAUAAAUGCAUCUGAGAAUUUCUUUCUGGAGACGUUCCAGAAUUCGUACAGAUUUUCCAGGGUGUCUAUGACACAAAAAAGGGUAGGAACCACUGACAUGAUCACCCAUCAAAGUUUGCUGACCUCCUCUGCUUCUCGGGAGUCUGCCUGAUGAAGAUUAUGAGCUUUUUAUCUUUCUCCAGUUUGUGUCUCCCUGGAGAGCUAAUCCUGGCAGCUACUGAGCCCUUCUCUCUGAGGACUGGUGGCUCCACACUAGGCAAGGAGCAAGACCAGGAAAUCUUGCAGGAGCCCCAGCCCAGGAAGAACAGACGCUAGCUUGUGAUGGGAGAGAGCGAACACAGAUGAGUGGGGGGAACCUGGAAAGCAAAGAGACACAAAAGGCCAUCUGGAGGUGAUAGUGGGAGUGAAUUGGAGCCAUUUCAGGGACCCAACGCAAAAUGGAUAAUAAAACUUUAAGGAAAUCGUUCAUUGAGUUGCAAGAUGUGAAGAGAGUGCUAUAUAAAAUGGACAGAGUCCUGGGCUCCAGACCUGAUUUCUCUGUGUCUAAGCAUUUCUGUGAGUCACAGUAUGGCGGCUGAACUGGAGAUUGGAAAGCAGAACUGGCCCAGAGUCCAGGUGACAAGGAUGAAGCAUGGAAGGCUGAGGAGCCCGACAUAGGGUCUGUAACGUAGUAAAUGACAACAGCAAACAGAAACGAAGGACAGGAGCAACAUGAGGAAGGCAUGUGAUUGAAUUGAUACAUUUACUCCGUGAACCAUUCCGAGGACAUCUGCGGGAUGUGGCCAUCCUCCUCUUCUCUGUGGCUGGACAGGGCCGUCUGCCCUGAGGCCACAGAGUUGCCUGGUCUUGGGAGAUGCUCUCUCAGCUGCGAGUCUCCUGUGCCAGGAGCACUACCAGGCACCGUUUCUCAGGUCUCCUGAUCUCUGCUUGGUUUGCAUGUUGCUCAAAUCGGAUCCACCCUUCCAGGCUGGCCUCUUGCCUUUUUCUUAGGUCCAAGGGACCAAUGUCUGCAUACAGGUGAGGCACUUCGCUGAGUUGCUUUCAUCAUGACUGCCAGUGCUGUGUGCAGGGCUGCGAGCAAGCCACCACGCCACGCCAUGCAGCAGCACUGGCAAGAGAGUUGCAAGCACUAUAGCAAGAGCUAGGGUGGUGACUGUGAGCUCCGUGGAAAAGGUAUCUUCAGUUGGACCUGGUGUGGACUUGGUUUGGUUUCCAAUGGCUCUAGUAAUCCCUGAGCCUAGUCUUCCAGCCAUAUCAAGCAGUGCACCCGACAUGUGAGCCAGGGCAUCUCAGACCCUGUGGACCAGCCACAUUCCAGCUGAGUACCUCUGACUAACCUCAGUUGGUACCAGAAUCUCUCAGCAAGCCCAGUCUGAACCCUGACCCAGAGAACCAUGAGCCCUAACAAAAUGGUAGUGGUUUUAAACCACAAAACAUGGGGGUAGUUUGUUAUGCAGCAAUAGAUAACUAAAACACUAGACAUAAACGGAAGAAACUUUGCUGUCGGCUUUUGAUAAAUUUAGGACGAUUGUGUGUGAUUUACCCCAACCAUCUGUUUCUGUCCAUGAUAAUUUCAUUCUGCUCAAAAUUUGGAUCAAGUUACCUUUUAACGGAGCUAAACCUUCACUUGGGUUCACUGACAGCUUCCUGAGCCUCAGCAAAGCUUUCAGGCUUCCCAGCUGUGGCCAAGCUGGCAGUAGAGUCCCGCCUCCAGCUGCAGGCACACUCAAGCUUGCCCCAGCACCACAGCUGCAUGCAGCUACCUUCCACUGUGAUUUUGCAAAAAUUGCCACAAGUUGCAACUGUGGCUGCAGAAGUUAUUUUGCAUGGGCCUGGAUAAACAAUGUACAGAUGACAUUUUCUCAGGAGCCCCACAUACCACAAAGGGCAUCUUCGUAUUUGUUGUCUUGCCUUCCUCAGAGGCAGAGUGCAUUAUUUCUACAUGGCUGUGUCCACCAUCUACAGGGAGAUCUGGAACUAAGUCAUUUUAAAAUGAAUAGGAAGUCAAUGAGAAUUGAAUAAGACCAAGCCAUUGUACUGUUUUGUUUUAGCUCUGGCUUAGGCGAAGUCCCCAGUUCCUGAAUAGUAUAGGAAGGAGAGUAGGAGUGGGUAGUGCCCUCAGGAUCAAGUAAGUACCAGAAACGUGAGUGUCAUUCUUUCAGUAUGCCAACAUGACUGGCAUGGCUUCAUAGUCAGAGGGAUGUGGGUUCAGACCUGAGCUUACUAUGUACAUAUAAGAUAUGUAUUCUGAGCUUUAGUUUCUCAUUAGUCAAAUGGGUAAACCUUCCCUCAGUCAACCUCACAGGCAAUAUGAGGAUGUCUUAUUUGGGGCUUGAUAGAAGCAGACGCUGAGACAAGGCUAAGUGCAGGUGGUUUAUCAGGAAGAGGAGGGAUCAAAGGUGGCAGAGUGGGCACUGACAAGGAAAGGAUGACAACCAGCAAGAAGUUCAUUAUCAAGCCAGUUACCACGGUGGAAAUUGCAGCUUCAUCCCAAGGAAGAAUCUCCGCAAAGGUGUAGACUUGAUGAUUACUAUUCCCAUUUUACAGAUGAGGAAAUGGAAGUACAGUGAGAUAUUAGACAUCUUUUUCCAAGGUCGCAGUGCUAUCAAGUGGCAGAAUCAGAAUUUAAUCCAGGUUGCUGCCAUAAUAAUGAAAACACACACACAUGUAUUUCUCUAAAUUCACUGUAGAGCAUGGUGUCCAUGUCAUAAAUUAUUUUUUUCCCUUUCUGUACCAGCAUUCAACAAAGCAAAUAUUUGUAUAUGGCCAUUUGGAAAUUGGUAUUGAUAAAUAUACUAUUAUCAGCUUUAAAAACUUUAAUUAUAUAAUCCAUUUAUAUCAAAUUUUUAGCACAUCCAAGAGAUUGAUAGUAUACUGGUAGCUCUGGAGGGUAAUUGGGGAAUGGGUUUCACUGCUAAGGGCUACAGAGCUUCCUUUUUGCAGUGAGAAAAAAUAUUCUAAAAUAUGGAUGGUGAUGUUGCAGGACUUUGAAAAUACAAAAAAAAUGUUGAAUUAUACAUUUGAAAAGUAUGUGAUGCUUUUUUUGAUAUGUGAAUUUUAUCUCAAUAAAUCUGUUUUUAGGAAGAGAAAAUUAUAAGUAUUAAACUUUGUUCUAAGCAUUUCUUAAUAUAGUUCUUUCUAAAGGCAAAAUUCUGAAUGGAAAAAAAUAAAAUAAAACCAGUAUCCACCCUUCCAGGAAUGUAAGAUACUGCUUCAUUCCAAAUGCCUGUGUUAGUCAGUUCUCUGUCAGUAUUAAAAAACAAAACAAAACUAAACUAAGAUAAUCAACUUAUGAAGAGAAAAAGCUUAUUUUGGCUCAUAAUUUUGGAGGGUUGAGGUCACCAGAGAUUUACCCCAUCACUUCUGGGCCGGUAAUGAGGGAGUACACCAUGGGAAGAGCACAUGGCAGAGAAAAAACAGCUAUAUCAAGGCCAGAAAGCAAAAGAGAGAAAGAAGAAGGGGAAGGGCCCUCUGAGGACACACCUCCAAUGACCUAAAGACCUCCCAUUAGGCCCGUCCUCUAAAAAGUUCCACCACCUCCCAAUAGCACCACGGGGGUGGGGGGGACUCAGCCUUUAACACCUGGGCAUUUGGGGACAGUCAACAUCCAAACCAUAACACAGUCUAAUUUUAAGGGGGAAUAGUGACAGAGUGGAGUGUUUCCAGGGGAAGUAAAGAAGAUGGCAACAGAACUCAUCAUCCCAUGAAGAACAAUUAAAAGACAAAGUUGUGGUUUGAAGAACAAAUGCUUAGUAAGGACACAGGAAUGCUCCUUAAGUAUCUGAAAAUGACUGACCCACUAUUGAUUCCCAACAUUCAGAAUUUGGAACAAUGGAUUGAAACUACCUUUGUGCAACAUGAGGAGCAGCCUGCCUUGAGAAGUACCGAAGCUCUUGUCACUCACCAGGUGACAACUGAUCAUUGGUCAGGGAUGUUGUCAAAGUAAGCUGUCCGUGGAAAGACCAUAGAAUGAAUCGGACAUGACUUUUCUGUGUUCAUAUAUGAAUACACGACCAGUGAAACUCCACAUCAUGUGCAAACACAAGAAUGGAAGUUAUACCCUAUGUAUGUGUGAUAUGUCAAAAUGCCCUCUAUUGCCAUGUAUGUAUGAAAGAGCAAAUUCGAAAAAUAAGCUCUCCUUGUUGAGGACAUUAACUAAGAUGGCCUAAAAGACUGUUUCCAAUUCCGGAAUUUGGUGCUUCCAAGUUCAAUUCCUAAUAUUUAUUUUCAUUAUAAAUUACAUGGCAUCAUUGGGAAAAAAUGACUGGUCUUUAGAAUGGUGGCUUUCUGUAAACGUCCUCCCCCAUGGCUAGUAUAUCCACUGUGACCAGAAGGGAUAAGCUUAGCUGGGUGGAGACUGACUUCCCAGUGAAACAGUGUCUCUGAAGGGUCUGAAUUCCUCAGAAGGUAGAGGAGGGAGGUGAGCAAGUCAGAGUCUGGAUGGGCAGUCAGGAGGUGUGGAUUCCUCUGCAGCUGGAGACUCACAGCCUAACUGACCACAGAGUAAGCUGACUUGGGACACAGGGUUUCUGGUAAGCAGGACUUUUAAUGCAAAAACCUGGGGAAAUGCAGGCUUGUCACUAUAAUGCUUAUCUCAAAAUAUUAAAUGAGAACUCUGUUUUUAACUAGAAAACAAGAAGCUGUACAGAUUUCCUAAUGCCUAAAAAACAAAAAAACAAAACAAACAAAAAACCUUCUGAGAUGUAUCUCAGAAGCCAAGGUGUUGAGACUUAAGCAGGUUGCAAUGGAAGAAACUUUGAACCAGCAGAUCUGGGGUUCCAUUCAUCCACUUUAUACCUGUGUGACUUAGGAAAUGUUCCCAACCUCUCUGAGCCUCAGUUUGCUCACCUGAGAAAGGAAGAUGAUGGCCGAUUGUUGGUCAGGGUCUUACUCAUAUCCUUUAUUUCAACCACCAUCAAUCUACAUGAUGAAAUUAGAAAGUUUACUCCUUUGCAGAUGCUCGCCAUGUUCCUAGAGGAUGACUAAGGGCCAUGCUGAACAAUCACCAUGGAAGGUGACAAGGUUCAGGUGACUUGCUGACUAGGGGAGGUCAGCCGACUGGAGAAGAACAACAUCUCUACAACAUAAUACCACGGGAAGUCCUGGGGUCCUGUCAGCUGACCCCGGGUCUGUUGACACCUGAGAAGUGUCAGUCCCUUCAGAUGGCUCUAGGAUUUGAAAAAUGUUCCCACAAACUCAGAGGAAACUAUAUAUUGAUUAAGAGAAAUAUCCAAGUCACUGGGGGAACACUUCUGUUCCCAGAAUCUGUAAUGACCUGUUCCUGGGCCCCUUCUGCUUCUCUCUGAUGUUGCUCCUGUGAGCAGCCUGGAACUCUGGACUCCGAUGUCACCUGAAGUCCACCUCCCUCCCUCAGGACCCAGACUCCCUAUGUUUUACUCUAAUAUCCUGCACCAGCUGUGCUUCUUUGUGCUGACUCCUGCUGUGGUCUAGACUCAGGUGUAAAGGGGCUGGACAGCCAUCUGCUCUUUCUGGAAUCAGAGCAAUGACGUGGGCUUUGGAGGCUGG